GAUGAACGCUAGCGGCAGGCUUAACACAUGCAAGUCGAGGGGUAUAGUAGCAAUACUAGAGACCGGCGCACGGGUGCGUAACGCGUAUGCAAUCUACCUUUUACAGAGGGAUAGCCCCAGAGAAAUUUGGAUUAAUACCUCAUAGUAUUUUUGAAUCGCAUGAUUUGAUUAUUAAAGUUCCAACGGUAAAGAUGAGCAUGCGUCCCAUUAGUUAGUUGGUAAGGUAACGGCUUACCAAGACGAUGAUGGGUAGGGGUCCUGAGAGGGAGAUCCCCCCUCACUGGUACUGAGACACGGACCAGACUCCUACGGGAGGCAGCAGUGAGGAAUAUUGGACAAUGGGCGCAAGACCUGACGGAGCAAUACCGCGUGAGGGAAGAAUGCCUAUGGGUUGUAAACCUC
rnacentral:rRNA from 1 species